rnacentral:rRNA from 1 species
CGAAUGCUGACAUAAGUAACGAUAAAGCGGGUGAAAAGCCCGCUCGCCGGAAGACCAAGGGUUCCUGUCCAACGUUAAUCGGGGCAGGGUGAGUCGACCCCUAAGGCGAGGCCGAAAGGCGUAGUCGAUGGGAAACAGGUUAAUAUUCCUGUACUUGGUGUUACUGCGAAGGGGGGACGGAGAAGGCUAUGUUGGCCGGGCGACGGUUGUCCCGGUUUAAGCGUGUAGGCUGGUUUUCCAGGCAAAUCCGGAAAAUCAAGGCUGAGGCGUGAUGACGAGGCACUACGGUGCUGAAGCAACAAAUGCCCUGCUUCCAGGAAAAGCCUCUAAGCAUCAGGUAACAUCAAAUCGUACCCCAAACCGACACAGGUGGUCAGGUAGAGAAUACCAAGGCGCUUGAGAGAACUCGGGUGAAGGAACUAGGCAAAAUGGUGCCGUAACUUCGGGAGAAGGCACGCUGAUAUGUAGGUGAAGUCCCUCGCGGAUGGAGCUGAAAUCAGUCGAAGAUACCAGCUGGCUGCAACUGUUUAUUAAAAACACAGCACUGUGCAAACACGAAAGUGGACGUAUACGGUGUGACGCCUGCCCGGUGCCGGAAGGUUAAUUGAUGGGGUCAGCGCAAGCGAAGCUCUUGAUCGAAGCCCCGGUAAACGGCGGCCGUAACUAUAACGGUCCUAAGGUAGCGAAAUUCCUUGUCGGGUAAGUUCCGACCUGCACGAAUGGCGUAAUGAUGGCCAGGCUGUCUCCACCCGAGACUCAGUGAAAUUGAACUCGCUGUGAAGAUGCAGUGUACCCGCGGCAAGACGGAAAGACCCCGUGAACCUUUACUAUAGCUUGACACUGAACAUUGAGCCUUGAUGUGUAGGAUAGGUGGGAGGCUUUGAAGUGUGGACGCCAGUCUGCAUGGAGCCGACCUUGAAAUACCACCCUUUAAUGUUUGAUGUUCUAACGUGGACCCGUGAUCCGGGUUGCGGACAGUGUCUGGUGGGUAGUUUGACUGGGGCGGUCUCCUCCUAAAGAGUAACGGAGGAGCACGAAGGUUGGCUAAUCCUGGUCGGACAUCAGGAGGUUAGUGCAAUGGCAUAAGCCAGCUUGACUGCGAGCGUGACGGCGCGAGCAGGUGCGAAAGCAGGUCAUAGUGAUCCGGUGGUUCUGAAUGGAAGGGCCAUCGCUCAACGGAUAAAAGGUACUCCGGGGAUAACAGGCUGAUACCGCCCAAGAGUUCAUAUCGACGGCGGUGUUUGGCACCUCGAUGUCGGCUCAUCACAUCCUGGGGCUGAAGUAGGUCCCAAGGGUAUGGCUGUUCGCCAUUUAAAGUGGUACGCGAGCUGGGUUUAGAACGUCGUGAGAC